CCUGGGUGCGGUGGCAUGUGCCUGUAAUCCAAGUCACUGGGAAGGCUGAGGUGGUGAUCAAGUGAGCUGAGGAGCUCUGGGCUGCAGCACACUAUGUUGAAUGGGUGUCCACGCUAAGUUCGGUAUCGAUAUGGUGUUCCAGGGGGAGCCCGGGACCACCAGGUUGUCUAAGGAGGGGUGAACCGGCCCAGGUCGGAAACGAAGCAGGUCAAAUCCCCCGUGCUGUCAGUAGUGGAUAAUACCUGUGAGUAGAUGCUGCAGUGCAGCCUUGGCAAAACAUCGAGACCUAAUCUUUU
rnacentral:SRP_RNA from 1 species